AGAUGGCAGACAAAAUGCCUAGACUUUAAGCGUCUAUCAUACCAUCUAGGUUCUUUC
rnacentral:tRNA from 1 species